AACGAACGCUGGCGGCAUGCCUAACACAUGCAAGUCGAACGAGACCUUCGGGUCUAGUGGCGCACGGGUGCGUAACGCGUGGGAAUCUGCCCUUAGGUUCGGAAUAACUUCGGGAAACUGAAGCUAAUACCGGAUGAUGACGUAAGUCCAAAGAUUUAUCGCCUAAGGAUGAGCCCGCGUUGGAUUAGCUAGUUGGUGAGGUAAAGGCUCACCAAGGCGACGAUCCAUAGCUGGUCUGAGAGGAUGAUCAGCCACACUGGGACUGAGACACGGACCAGACUCCUACGGGAGGCAGCAGUGAGGAAUAUUGGACAAUGGGCGCAAGCCUGAUCCAGCCAUGCCGCGUGCAGGAAUAAGGUCCUAUGGAUUGUAAACUGCUUUAUACAGGAAGAAACACACCCUCGUGAGGGUACUUGACGGUACUGUAUGAAUAAGGACCGGCUAACUCCGUGCCAGC
rnacentral:rRNA from 1 species